rnacentral:rRNA from 1 species
GAUACGGCCCAGACUCCUACGGGAGGCAGCAGUGGGGAAUAUUGGGCAAUGGGCGCAAGCCUGACCCAGCAACGCCGCGUGAAGGAAGAAGGCUUUCGGGUUGUAAACUUCUUUUAAGUGGGAAGAGUAGAAGACGGUACCACUUGAAUAAGCCACGGCUAACUACGUGCCAGCAGCCGCGGUAAUACGUAGGUGGCAAGCGUUGUCCGGAUUUACUGGGUGUAAAGGGCGUGCAGCCGGGCAUGCAAGUCAGAUGUGAAAUCUCAGGGCUUAACCCUGAAACUGCAUUUGAAACUGUAUGUCUUGAGUGCCGGAGAGGUAAUCGGAAUUCCUUGUGUAGCGGUGAAAUGCGUAGAUAUAAGGAAGAACACCAGUGGCGAAGGCGGAUUACUGGACGGUAACUGACGGUGAGGCGCGAAAGCGUGGGGAGCGAACAGGAUUAGAUACCCUGGUAGUCCACGCUGUAAACGAUGGAUACUAGGUGUGCGGGGACUGACCCCCUGCGUGCCGCAGUUAACACAAUAAGUAUCCCACCUGGGGAGUACGAUCGCAAGGUUGAAACUCAAAGGAAUUGACGGGGGCCCGCACAAGCGGUGGAUUAUGUGGUUUAAUUCGAAGCAACGCGAAGAACCUUACCAGGUCUUGACAUCCUGCUAACGAAGUAGAGAUACAUUAGGUGCCCUUCGGGGAAAGCAGAGACAGGUGGUGCAUGGUUGUCGUCAGCUCGUGUCGUGAGAUGUUGGGUUAAGUCCCGCAACGAGCGCAACCCCUAUUGUUAGUUGCUACGCAAGAGCACUCUAGCGAGACUGCCGUUGACAAAACGGAGGAAGGUGGGGACGACGUCAAAUCAUCAUGCCCCUUAUGACCUGGGCUACACACGUAAUACAAUGGCGGUCAACAAAGGGAUGCAAAGCCGCGAGGCAGAGCGAACCCCAAAAAGCCGUCCCAGUUCGGAUCGCAGGCUGCAACCCGCCUGCGUGAAGUCGGAAUCGCUAGUAAUCGUGGGUCAGCAUACCACGGUGAAUACGUUCCCGGGCCUUGUACACACCGCCCGUCACACCAUGAGAGUCGGGAACACCCGAAGUCCGUAGCUUAACCGCAAGGAGGGCGCGGCCGAAGGUGGGUUCGAUAAUUGGGGUGAAGUCGUAACAAGGUAGCCGUUCGAGAACGAGCGGCUG